rnacentral:rRNA from 1 species
UACGGAGGGGGCUAGCGUUGUUCGGAAUUACUGGGCGUAAAGCGCACGUAGGCGGAUCAGUCAGUCAGGGGUGAAAUCCCGGGGCUCAACCCCGGAACUGCCUUUGAUACUGCUGGUCUUGAGGUCGAGAGAGGUGAGUGGAAUUCCGAGUGUAGAGGUGAAAUUCGUAGAUAUUCGGAGGAACACCAGUGGCGAAGGCGGCUCACUGGCACGAUACUGACGCUGAGGUGCGAAAGCGUGGGGAGCAAACAGG